GUUUGUAUUUUGGUGAACACAAUAUUGAAGGAAUGCUUGCGGUGCUGGACCCCUUACAUAAUAUUCUUGAGGAAGGACCUGAAACAUUGAAAGAGACAACCUUCAUUCAGGCAUAUGGUCGUGAACUGUUGGAAGCUCGUGAAUGUUGCUUGAAGUAUAGGCGAACAGGAAAGGAUGCAGAACUUACUCAGGCAUGGGGUUUGUAUUAUCAUGUUUUCAGGCGAAUAGACAAGCAACUUCCAAGUCUUACUACCCUAGACCUACAGGCA